rnacentral:ncRNA from 1 species
CACCAAUUCAAUAGCUUAUUUCAUAUAAUCGCAGGAAUACGGCCUGCAAGUUUCUACCGGUUCACCGUAAAUGAACCGACUAUGAAAGGGAGCGGGAACAAA